UCCCUGCUGGGACCAGGAUUCCUAGUCUUUCAGGCGGCUGCCCCAUUUUUUCUUUUCCCUUUUGUCUUUGUUGUUGAUGUCGCUGUGCGUCCACAACCCCGGGAUUCCCUCAACGUCAAACUCCAAAAUCCAGUUUCUUAGAUUUCAAUGCUUUUAAGGUUUCUGGUUGGUCAUGGUGAGAGGGUAAAUCUGACUCCGGCUACUCCAUCAUGACCCGAAGUGAAAAUUCUAGUAGGACUUCUGGUGGAGGACCAUACCCAACCCAAUGAGAGAUGCAGAGUUCUCAGAUGCCACUCUGAAAUGCAGUACUGCCCCCUGCUGGCUCCCCUGCGGUAUAGCUCAUCAAAAACCAGGAGGGCUCUCGGGUCCUUUUCCCACGGCUGGGAAAAACUGAGGCGUCGAUUCUCAGCGCGAGGUGGGAGACAAAGCUGACACGGGAUGAUUUUCCAACCGCCACGCUCCCUCAGAAAACACCGCUUACUGUCUUUGGCUUUGGAUUUAAACAGAGGCCUUCAAAACCUUCCAGAGUGAAGUGUGGGUGCAUAUUCAUCAAGUACCUUAGGAUAAGAAAUGGAGCCUAAAAGAGAUGUUCUCAACACUACUCGCCAGUAACCAGUGGUGUUAAGUGUUAGGGUUGAACUUCACCUUAGGGAGAAAAAAAGAACAUGUUGGGGAACCUUUCUCAAAGCGUUCUGGGAAACAUGAAACACGGCUCUGACUUCGGAGGCUGGUAAAUGUAAGCAUGUUCCAGUUUUAAAAAAUAAACAAAAUGCACGUUAUUACUUCUGACACAAACCAACCGGACCCCCAAGACCCUGAGGGGCUUUUUAGCAUCUGGAAGAGGCUGAUGAGACGACAGUGGUCUGAAUCUUAGGAUGCUCGACUAUUCUCCUUAGGCCUUCUCCAAUGUGCUCAUUCCUGCAGCCAGGAGCUUCCCGCCUCCAUAGUGCCCGACUGAGGACCCAUCUCUACUUUGACAGAAGCAACUGGGAGCAAGAAAAUUUGCCGAGGACUAAACCGUAAGAUGUGUACACUGAAAGUUGUAGCCAUGGGUGUGCAACCAAUGUGGUUGCACGGGGCCGCACACUCAGAAGGGCCCCACGCUUGAAGGGUCCCGCACUUGGGGGUUAAUGCUCUGUGGCCACUGUCUUGAUAGUUUUACCUUUAAUCAUUUUGAGAAUUAUUCAAGAAGAUAGUUUUAAGAAUAAUUUCACCAUUCUUAAUAAGAUUGUCUUUGAAUUUAUGUUUCAUGAGUGAAGGCCGGUGGCCCAGUGAAGCAUGCACCGGGGCUUGGAGCCUCACUCAUGCCUGGUCUGCCUCUCCCUGCCUCCGUGCCUCCCUGCCUCCCCGGGCUGGGUUCUCAGCGUCUGUUCCCUGCUCCCUGGCUGGGGAGGCCCCGCCUGGCUUCCCCCUCCCUGCCCUUGCCCCACACUACUGUCCGCCUCCGCCCCUGGUAGGGGCCUGGAUAUGGGCACAGGGAGGAUUACAGUUGAGCAUGACACGCGUGCCCUGCAUCACCUCUGGGAGAGGCAUGUGGCAGCCAUCCCUGCCCUGGGCCGGCAGUGCCACAGUGCAUUUGGCGGGUAGCCACAGAGGUGAGACUGUCACCUUCCUUCGAUCCAAGUACUGAGCAUGACCUGGCACAGAGGUUUAAUCCUGGGGGGCUCUCCCAUCCCACCUUGGGAUCUGCCCAGAGCAUGGCACGCCAGUCUGGCGGCUGGCCAGAGGAGACGUCCCAGCGCUGGUGGCUGUGUGUGAAUAUGCAGUCAGGGAGCCUGCGAGGGUCUGCGCUCAUCUUACAAAUAUCCCUGCGCCUGAGGAAGCAUAAGAUUAAAUAACAAACAGAUGCCGUGAGCGGGUGAGAGAGACCAUGGAAGAAGGGAGGGCCAGCCCCAUGGCCCAGCUGGUGGUACGUUCGCACUUUCCGCUUUCGUGGCCCGGGGUUCGCUGGUUCGGAUCCAGAUGCUGUGGCAGGCGUCCCACGUAUAAAGUACAGGAAAAUGAGCACGGAUGUUAG